ensembl:lncRNA
AUGGGUUUGGUCCAGGUCUACAGUAUAUCUCAAUGGGUUUGGUCCAGGUCUAUAGUAUAUCUCAAUGGGUUUGGUCCAGGUCUAUAUCUCAAUGGGUUUGGUCCAGGUCUACAGUAUAUCUCAAUGGGUUUGGUCCAGGUCUAUAUCUCAAUGGGUUUGGUCCAGGUCUAUAUCUCAAUGGGUUUGGUCCAGGUCUACAGUAUAUCUCAAUGGGUUUGGUCCAGGUCUACAGUAUAUCUCAAUGGGUUUGGUCCAGGUCUACAGUAUAUCUCAAUGGGUUUGGUCCAGGUCUAUAGUAUAUCUCAAUGGGUUUGGUCCAAGUCUAUAUCUCAAUGGGUUUGGUCCAGGUCUACAGUAUAUCUCAAUGGGUUUGGUCCAGGUCUACAGUAUAUCUCAAUGGGUUUGGUCCAGGUCUAUAGUAUAUCUCAAUGGGUUUGGUCCAGGUCUAUAUCUCAAUGGGUUUGGUCCAGGUCUACAGUAUAUCUCAAUGGGUUUGGUCCAGGUCUACAGUAUAUCUCAAUGGGUUUUGGUCCAG